rnacentral:rRNA from 1 species
GAUGAACGCUGGCGGCGUGCCUAAUACAUGCAAGUCGAGCGAACGGACGAGAAGCUUGCUUCUCUGAUGUUAGCGGCGGACGGGUGAGUAACACGUGGAUAACCUACCUAUAAGACUGGGAUAACUUCGGGAAACCGUAGCUAAUACCGGAUAAUAUUUUGAACCGCAUGGUUCAAAAGUGAAAGACGGUCUUGCUGUCACUUAUAGAUGGAUCCGCGCUGCAUUAGCUAGUUGGUAAGGUAACGGCUUACCAAGGCAACGAUGCAUAGCCGACCUGAGAGGGUGAUCGGCCACACUGGAACUGAGACACGGUCCAGACUCCUACGGGAGGCAGCAGUAGGGAAUCUUCCGCAAUGGGCGAAAGCCUGACGGAGCAACGCCGCGUGAGUGAUGAAGGUCUUCGGAUCGUAAAACUCUGUUAUUAGGGAAGAACAUAUGUGUACGUAACUGUGCACAUCUUGACGGUACCUAAUCAGAAAGCCACGGCUAACUACGUG